AGUGAACGCUGGCGGUAGGCCUAACACAUGCAAGUCGAACGGCAGCACAGUAAGAGCUUGCUCUUACGGGUGGCGAGUGGCGGACGGGUGAGGAAUACAUCGGAAUCUACUUUUUCGUGGGGGAUAACGUAGGGAAACUUACGCUAAUACCGCAUACGACCUACGGGUGAAAGCAGGGGAUCUUCGGACCUUGCGCGAUUGAAUGAGCCGAUGUCGGAUUAGCUAGUUGGCGGGGUAAAGGCCCACCAAGGCGACGAUCCGUAGCUGGUCUGAGAGGAUGAUCAGCCACACUGGAACUGAGACACGGUCCAGACUCCUACGGGAGGCAGCAGUGGGGAAUAUUGGACAAUGGGCGCAAGCCUGAUCCAGCAAUAUCGCGUGGGUGAAGAAGGCCUUCGGGUUGUAAAGCCCUUUUGUUGGGAAAGAAAAGCAGCAGGUUAAUACCCUGCUGUUCUGACGGUACCCAAAGAAUAAGCACCGGCUAACUACGUG
rnacentral:rRNA from 1 species